AGGUAAUUUGAUGUUUUAGAAACUGAAAGUUACCUCAUUUUUAAGUUUUUGCAAAGUAUUGAAUAGGAAAAGAAAGCUCUCAUUGAUUGGAAUGUUUUAAUGUCUUUUAUAUGUUGAAUUGAAAGUUUUUCUAUUAUGAUUAUCUUGCUUUCUCAUGGUAUUAUUAGAAAUUGCUCAGAUUCUAUUUUUCCCAAUGCUUAUAUAGUGAAGCAGAAUUUCUCAUAGCAGUUUUUCUAAUUAUGUCAGGUGGAUCAUUUGGGAGCAAGACUGAAAUGUUUGGUGAACAAGUUGAAGGAUGUAGAUGUAGUGCACUUAGAUUUGAAGUUCAGCAAAAACUCUUUUAGAGGAUCCAAUGUCCAAGUUUGAUGUUGCGGUUGAUAAUGGUACCAAGGCUCAAGAGAGUGAUGGCUGCCAAAUUUCCACUCUGAAUGAAAACAAGAGUCCAGCUAAGAGAAUUUCUUCAAGUGACACCAUCAACGGCAAUGAGACUCGAGCUCUUUCAAAGGUUUGCAACUUAACUAAUGUUAUUAUUCUAUUAAGUUGUUGUAUAGUUAUGUAAUACACUAAACAUUUUAGAUUUUCGCUUGACAUGACAUAAUGCCCAAGUUUGAUGAUGUGGAGUCUGCAAUUGGUACCAAGGCAGUUUAGUUCGAGACAAAUUAUUAACGUUUUAGUUCAAUUUUGCUGAAUAGUUAUGACAUAUUUUCAUACAUCUUUGGGACAAUGAAGUUUUAUUCGCCGGUUGUUUUGUUUGCAAACAGUAAACUUACCACUUUAUAAGUAAUUUGAUGUUUUAGAAACUGAAAGUUAGCUCAUUUUUAAGUAUUUGGUAUCUUCACUAAAAGUUUUUAUGUAGCUCUAUUUGAAGAAUCCUUUGAUAUUUCAUAUGUAGCUCUAUUUGAAGAAUCUGAGUUAUUAUCCUUUUACUAAUCUAAUUAAUUGGACUAUUAUUUUUUGAAGGAUUUAUUGCCUAAUUCUAUAAUUUAUUAAUUCCUAAUCAGUAACUUUAUUUUUGGUUUGUUUUCGUUACAUCUGUCAGACAAUGUUCUUCUUUGCGUUGGUUUGUUUUAUGUGGAAUUUUCAGUCACUCAUCAUGUAACUUUGUGAAAGAUUUUGUUUGUUCAUAUUUACAUUUAUCUAUCUUUGGUACUUUAAUUCAUGUCAUUUGAUUCAACCAUUUAUUUUGGACUUAUAUGAGUCAUGUAACUUGCUUAUUGUUGACCUUUUUUUCUUCUUAAUUGGAAGCAAUUGGAAUGAACCGUCAUAAAGAUAGAGAAGUUCAAAAUGAUUUUUUAACUAUAUUAGCACAUGCCUGGGUUUUGAAAUAGAAAUUGUUUGAUAUUAUUGGUUAAGUGGUAGUUACGAUUCAAUUCUAUUUCUUUUCUUUGUUGUUCUAUUUUGAGUCAUGGGGUUCAUAUUUUUUAAUUAAAUAUAUGAUGUGAAAUGGAUCCAUAUUUUUUUAAAAGGAACCUGAAUUCAAAUAUUUCCAGCCACCACAGUAUAGUUUAUUAGCACUAUGCAUGAAAAGUAACUUAGAGGAAGAGAGCAUUGAGGGAUGAGAAGAAUAAAAAAGAAUCGUAAAACUGAUUCAUAGUAUACGGAGGAUCAUUUAAUAUGUGUGUGUGGAGAGAUUAUUAUGUAAUGGUUUAAAAUUUUAAUUUGGAGUUAGACAAAAAUUAUGUAUUUUAGUGCUUUUAAGAAAACUAUGAUUUAUUAUGUACAAAAAAUUAGCAUAUUUAAGUUAGAGACUAUUUGUGGUACAUGUAAGGGAACGAAAAAUUCAUUGGUAGUAUAGUGUAAACAUUCACGUUGAAAAAGAACAAAGAGUUGUAGGCAGUACAUGUGUUAUCAUGAUUUGGCUUCUAUUCUACUUUAAUGCAUAAGGACAACUAAUUUUUAAUGCAAAUUGAAUUGAAUAUGAUAUAAAUGUCUGAUUACUUAUGGAUGCUGAAGGGAAUGAAUUUCGAGUUAUCU